rnacentral:rRNA from 1 species
AUGGAAGUAGAUCAGGCGUGCCCUGUAUGUUCAAGUAUUCCAGAAGACGGUGGUCACCUAUUCUUCAAAUGCAAGAAAAUUGUCAGGUUAUGGCAAGUAUUGGGGCUGGAAGAAAUAAGGGAAAAACUGAAGAGUAAGCAAUCUGCAGAAGAGGUUGUUAAUGAGAUAAUCUGUCUGGAGGAAGAGACCAAAGUGAAGACAGUAGUGUUGUUAUGGCAAUGGUGGCAAGAAAGAAAUAAUAUCAGGGAAGAAGGUAAAACAAGAGGUAUUGAUGAACUUUAUUAUAUCAUUUUGAAACAAACUAAUGAAUACAUUCAAGUUUUCUUGAAGGAAAAGGCACCUCCAAGUGGGAAAAUAUGUAGCUGGAAAAAACCUCCUCAAGGUAUCCUGAAGAUUAACACUGAUGGAGCAUUUUGUGGAGACACCAAGUCAGGAGGCUGGGGUGCAGUCAUAAGAAAUGAAGAAGGGGAGGUAGUUGCAUGUGGAGCAGGUAAGCUGGAGAGUGUACUGAACCCUUUUCAUGCAGAAAUUUUGGCUGCCCUCUAUGGAGCGAAACUAGCAGGAGCGAAGGGGAUUAAUAAGGUAAACCGAUUCGCUGCUGCUGAAGCAAGCCAUGGAAGGCGGAGAGGAUGA